UUCGAAAAUCUGCACUCUAGACAUUGUGAGUAAACUUACUGUCAUUUUAAUUAUCUAGGGUGAUUGUUAAAUGAUUUCAUGAAUUCUAUGGAAAAAGGGAUUUAAAAAGGUAAAUUUUCAUGUUUUAUGAAUAAAUGUGUUUCAAUGAAUUUAAUUUAUAAAUUGUUUUGAAAUUAAUAAUGAUGUUGAAAAAUAGAGUACACAGAGACUGUUAAUUGUUGCAAUUCGAUUGUUUAAAUUGAUUGGCUUAUGAUAAAUUGGGCAUGAUUGGCUAGUUGGCAAUUGUAUUGAAAUACGGAUUAUUUGUUUGCCUUAAAAGGCCGUGAAUAAAAUAAUUGCCAUGUCAUGCUAUUGCAAAUUUUAUUGAAUUGGUGGAUUAUAUAUUAAUUAAUCACUACAGUAGGGGGUUUCUGUAGACUAGCCUUUUAGAAGGGCACGGUAAACCCCAUUAUAUUCUUACCUCGAACGGAGAGACGCUAGGGUAUCUCCUAGGGUAAAGCUUAGGGUUCACUUCACGCCAAACCACCACGUGAGGGGGAACUCAGCCAACGCCAAGAAACGGCUAUGUUUUCAAAAUAAAGACAUGAUUUAUGCGAAAUGUGAAUUUUUAACAGCCUUGGCGGUCUCGGUAGGAUGCCUCGACCAAGGUGUCCCCGAGAAUGGAUUUAUGGCACAAGCCUAGUUUUAUGAGAUUCAUAAGCCUUUUUACGUAUUUUAAAUGAAAUGUGUUCUAAUGCUGUGACCCAGUUUACGAUGAUUUACUUGAUCGUCUCCAUGUACUCAACUCUAGAUGUUUAUGAUGAUGUCUGUUUACUCAUUGGGAUUUUAUAAUCUCACCACCCUCCUUUCCACCCAUUUCAGGCUCAGUAUAGGCUGUAGAUAGCUGAUAUCGUCGAAGGCUACAGUUGGCUCUACUUUCUCAAAAACUGUAGGUUCGCAGCCUUCAUUCAUUUUUGUCAUUUGGGGAUCCACAUGUCACUGUAAAUUAAAUUUCAUACUCUAGUUAUUUGUACUACUGUAUGUAGGAAUUUAUUUUGCUUUUACGCUGUAAAAAAUUA
rnacentral:lncRNA from 1 species